rnacentral:rRNA from 1 species
AGUGAACGCUGGCGGCAUGCCUAACACAUGCAAGUCGAACGAUCUUUGGCAGUUUAUCGUCAGAGGUAGUGGCAAACGGGUGAGUAAUACGUGGACAAUCUUCCCUCGAGCGGGGGAUAACUCCGGGAAACCGGAGCUAAUACCGCGUGAGACCACGUCCUGGCAUCAGGAUGGGGUUAAAGCUCCGCAAGGGGCACUUGAGGAGGGGUUCACGGCCUAUCAGCUAGUUGGCGGGGUUAAAGCCCACCAAGGCGACGACGGGUAACCGGUCUGAAAGGACGACCGGUCACAAUGGCACUGAGACACGGGCCAUACUCCUACGGGAGGCAGCAGUGGGGAAUUUUGCUCAAUGGGGGAAACCCUGAAGCAGCGAUGCCGCGUGGAGGACGAAGGUCUUCGGAUUGUAAACUCCUUUUGCUGGUGAAAAAUAGCGGCGUGAAUAACGCCGACUGAUGGUAACCGGCGAAUAAGCCACGGCUAACUUCGUGCCAGCAGCCGCGGUAAU